rnacentral:rRNA from 1 species
AUGGUAAUUGAUUUCCGCAAAUUAAAUAAGGCUACUAAGAAAGAUCAUUACCCCUUACCUUUUAUCGAUCAAAUGCUAGAAAGAUUAUGCAAACAUACACAUUACUGCUUUCUAGAUGGUUAUUCUGGUUUCUCUCAAAUACCUGUGUCAGCUAAAGAUCAAUCAAAGACUACUUUUACAUGCCCUUUUGGUACUUUUGCUUAUAGACGUAUGCCUUUUGGUUUAUGUAAUGCACCUACUACCUUUCAAAGAUGCAUGAUGGCUAUAUUCUCUGACUUUUGUGAAAAGAUUUGUGAGGUUUUCAUGGACAACUUUUCCAUCUAUGGAUCUUCUUUUGAUGAUUGCUUGAGCAAUCUUGAUCGAGUUUUGCAGAGAUGUGAAGAAACUAAUCUUGUCUUGAAUUGGGAAAAGUGCCACUUUAUGGUUAAUGAGGGUAUUGUCUUGGGGCGUAAAGUUUCUGAAAGAGGUAUUGAAGUUGAUAAAGCCAAGGUUGAUGCUAUUGAAAAGAUGACAUGUCCCAAGGACAUCAAAGGUAUAAGAAGUUUCCUUGGUCACGCCGGAUUUUAUAGGAGGUUCAUUAAGGACUUCUCAAAAAUUUCUCGGCCUCUGACUAAUUUAUUACAAAAAGAUAUACCAUUUGUCUUUGAUGAUGAUUGUGUAGAAGCAUUUGAAAUACUUAAGAAAGCACCAGUCUCUGCACCUAUUGUUCAACCACCUGAUUGGAAUUUACCCUUUGAAAUUAUGUGUGAUGCUAGUGAUUAUGCUGUAGGUGUUGUUCUAGGGCAAAGAGUUGACAAGAAAUUAAAUGUUAUCCAUUAUGCUAGUAAGACUCUAGACAAUCCUCAAAGAAAUUAUGCUACUACUGAAAAAGAACUUUUAGCAGUUGUAUUUGUUUGUGAUAAGUUCAGACCUUAUAUUGUUGAUUCUAAAGUAACUAUCCACAUUUAUCAUGCUGCUAUUAAAUAUCUUAUGGAGAAGAAAGAUGCUAAACCUAGACUUAUUAGAUGGGUUCUCUUGCUACAAGAAUUUGAUUUGCAUAUUGUUGAUAGAAAAGGAGAUGAGAACCCCGUUGCAGAGAACUUAUCUAGGUUAGAGAAUGUUCUUGAUGACCCACUACCUAUUGGUGAUAGCUUUCCUGAUGAACAAUUAAAUGUCAUACGUACUUCUCGUAGUACCCCUUGGUAUGCUGAUUAUGCUAAUUACAUAGUUGCUAAAUUUAUACCACCUAGCUUCACAUACCAACAAAAGAAAAAGUUCUUCUAUGAUUUGAGACAUUACUUUUGGGAUGACCCACAUCUUUAUAAAGGAGUAGAUGGUGUUAUUAGACGUUGUGUACGUGAGCAUGAAUAG